GGAAUAUUGGACAAUGGGCGAAAGCCUGAUCCAGCCAUGACGCGUGAGUGAUGAAGGCCUUAGGGUUGUAAAGCUCUUUCAGCGGGGAAGAUAAUGACGGUACCCGCAGAAGAAGCCCCGGCUAACUUCGUGCCAGCAGCCGCGGUAAUACGAAGGGGGCUAGCGUUGUUCGGACUUACUGGGCGUAAAGGGCUCGUAGGCGGCCAACUAAGUCGGAUGUGAAAUCCCCAGGCUCAACCUGGGAACUGCAUCCGAUACUGGAUGGCUUGAAUUCGGGAGAGGGAUGCAGAAUUCCAGGUGUAGCGGUGAAAUGCGUAGAUAUCUGGAGGAAUACCGGUGGCGAAGGCGGCAUCCUGGACCGACAUUGACGCUGAGGAGCGAAAGCUAGGGGAGCAAAC
rnacentral:rRNA from 1 species